rnacentral:piRNA from 1 species
UAAUCUCCUGGAGAUGUCGCUUGAUAUGU